rnacentral:misc_RNA from 1 species
GAAGUGCGAUAAGCAAUGCGAAUUGCAGAACCGUGAGUCAUCAGAUUUUUGAACGCAACUGGCGCCGGUUGGCUCUCCAACCGGCAUGCUUGUUUCAGUGUCUCUUUAUCUCAUCACCCAUAUCAUAAUGCGAGAGAUACCCUUCUCUUGCUAAGCUCGAAAGCACUCUGCGCUCUGUGAGCGGCUUCGACUUGUUCGAGGGUCGCACUCAAUGCAGCCGUCACAUUGCUCACAAUGUGAACUCAUUGAGAGCUGAGGCAGUGUAGCGUAAGCUACCAGUGCUUAGUCACACAAACUUUACUUGCAUCUGAAAUCAAGCAGGAUCACCCGCUGAACUUAAGC